UGCCGCGUGCAGGAUGAAGGCCCUCGGGUUGUAAACUGCUUUUGUACGGAACGAAAAGCCUGGGGCUAAUAUCCUCGGGUCAUGACGGUACCGUAAGAAUAAGCACCGGCUAACUACGUGCCAGCAGCCGCGGUAAU
rnacentral:rRNA from 1 species